CACAGACACAUACACAGACAGACCCGGGCAGCAACAUGGGGCAAGAAAAUCUGGGGCAGUCUUAAGUGAAAUAGAAAGCAAAGUCAUCGGCUGAGAGUAAUGCGGAAGGAAGAGUUGGAGGUUUGAGGAAAGAGAAGGUGUGAAAUAAUUGUCUAUAAAGUGAGACAGUGAAUUGGCAAAGAAAUGAGCAAGAUCACGUGGCAGCUCCAAGGGCCCACUUGAGAACUUCUGUUAGUUUAUUAUGAAGACGGUCAAGAAGGAUUAUUCAGAGAACAAAAGAGACAAUUAUCCCCUUGGAGAAAGGCCUGGCUCCGUAGUGACAGGUGAAUGGAGAGAAAGAGGUGCAGGUGACAAACACCAGAGCUUUCUUUCUGUGCUCACUUGCCUGAAGCCAAAUCAAAAAGGAUACAGGAGAGAUCGCUGAAACGCAUGGUUACACCUAAUCCUCAUGCCGAAUUACCACAAGAGCAGGUCUUGGAGCCGUGUCCAUCUGUCGGGAGCCAGCAUCACCAGUCUGGGCAGUCCUGGGUUGUCAUCCUUGGCUUCACGUGAUCCCAGCUCAUUGACCCUCAGUGGGACAAGCCCCAGAUUUCUCUUUCCUGCCACCUCUUCGUA